GAUGAACGCUAGCGACAGGCUUAACACAUGCAAGUCGAGGGGCAACGGGACGUAGCAAUACGUUGCCGGCGACCGGCGGAUGGGUGAGUAACGCGUAUGCAACCUACCCACGACAGGGGGAUAGCCCGUUGAAAGACGGAUUAAUACCCCAUAAACAGGGGUUCCGCAUGGGACUAUUUGUUAAAGGGUUCUCCGCGAGGGGGACCUCGGUUGUGGAUGGGCAUGCGUUCCAUUAGGCAGUUGGUGAGGUAACGGCUCACCAAACCGACGAUGGAUAGGGGAACCGGGAGGUUGGUCCCCCACACUGGUACUGAGAUACGGACCAGACUCCUACGGGAGGCAGCAGUGAGGAAUUUUGGUCAAUGGACGGAAGUCUGAACCAGCCAAGUCGCGUGAAGGAAGGCGGCCCUAAGGGUUGUAAACUUCUUUUGUAAGGGAAUAAAGUGCGUUACGUGUAGUGCAUUGCAAGUACCUUACGAAUAAGGAUCGGCUAACUCCGUG
rnacentral:rRNA from 1 species